AUAUCAGAUGGCAAUAUGCUCUGCUCCUUUUCAUACAAUCUCCAGCUCCAAAUUGCUCAGAUGCAGCCCAUCUGGCCUCAGAGACUUGUUUGGGCUCCUAAAGAGAUCUCAGCCUACACAGAUCCUCUUCCACUGCUGGUAGCUCCUCUGCUCCUGAACUUUUUCUCAAGUGGAGCUCAGUCCUAAGUUUCCUGCUCAGUCAGCCUAGCCUCCUGAUGUGUUUACUUGACUCGGUGAGUACUGAGAUCCAACAAAGAUGCAGGGAAACAAAAGCAGGAUUUGAAGGACGUUUGGUAAGGAGCUUUCUAUGUCUAAAAUUGCAAAAUAUUUUUUUGGUAGAAGAAUAUACUCCUCAGCCUCUUUCUUGAAGUGUAAAAAUAAUUAUUUUUAGAGAUCAAUUAAAGACCAAGAUCCCACAAGAUAAGCUUCAGCAAACAAGGGUUCUUUUCUAUUCUAUCAAAUAUUGCUGAAUCUCCUUAAUUUUGCAAUAUGUUUCCAAAAGCCAACAGCUGAGAUGUUAGCAAACGAUGAGAUGGCAAUGAUAACUUUAACAAACAGAGGCAGACAACAGGCUGAAGAAUGACAAUCCCUACACAUACUUUUAAUAUCAAUGAAACCUGAAAACAAUAAGGAUCUUCAUUCUGUUUUUCAGUUAGAAGGUUUAUGUGGACACUUUUUGAAGCCCAUCAUUCAGUUAUCCAUUAAGCUGUACUAUGUAGAGUUGUCAGACAAAGCAUGCAAUGACUAAACUAUUAAAAAAAAACAGAUGUUAAUGUCUCUUGACAAGGAAAUAUUUUCUUAUUACAAAACUAUGAGAUGCCUUUAGGGCUGUUAGGAUGAUAUAAACAACAUCCGUCAAACUUGAUUCCUUUUUCAUCUUAGGAGGAGCUACACGGGUUGCUCUCCCUUCUGUUGAGCAUCUCUAGAAUUGCUGUAUGUUAUUUCUUGAUUUACAAUAGGGCAAGAAUAUAUAAUUGCAAUAGGAAAAAACACGUCAUGGAGGGAUUCAGG
rnacentral:lncRNA from 7 species